rnacentral:rRNA from 1 species
AUUGAACGCUGGCGGCAGGCCUAACACAUGCAAGUCGAGCGAGCGGCGGACGGGUGAGUAAUGUAUGGGGACUGCCCGAUAGAGGGGGAUAACUACUGGAAACGGUAGCUAAUACCGCAUACUAUCGGAUAACCCAUAUGGGAUUAGCUAGUAGGUGGGGUAAUGGCUCACCUAGGCGACGAUCCCUAGCUGGUCUGAGAGGCUGAUCAGCCACCAGGGGCGUGAGACCCGGCCCAGACUCCUCCGGGGGCAGCAGUGGGGAAGAUUGGACAAUGGGCGCAAGCGUUAGACAGCCUUGCCGUGCGUAUGAAGAAGGCCCUAGGGUUGUAAAGGACUUUAGGCAGGGAACCGGUACCUGCAGAAUAAGCACCGGCUAACUCCGUGCCAGCAGCCGCGGUAAUUC